AGUGAACGCUGGCGGUAGGCCUAACACAUGCAAGUCAAACGGCAGCACAGUAAGAGCUUGCUCUUACGGGUGGCGAGUGGCGGACGGGUGAGGAAUACAUCGGAAUCUACUUUUUCGUGGGGGAUAACGUAGGGAAACUUACGCUAAUACCGCAUACGACCUACGGGUGAAAGCAGGGGAUCUUCGGACCUUGCGCGAUUGAAUGAGCCGAUGUCGGAUUAGCUAGUUGGCGGGGUAAAGGCCCACCAAGGCGACGAUCCGUAGCUGGUCUGAGAGGAUGAUCAGCCACACUGGAACUGAGACACGGUCCAGACUCCUAAGGGAGGCAGCAGUGGGGAAUAUUGGACAAUGGGCGCAAGCCUGAUCCAGCCAUACCGCGUGGGUGAAGAAGGCCUUCGGGUUGUAAAGCCCUUUUGUUGGGAAAGAAAAGCAGCAGGUUAAUACCCCGCUGUUCUGACGGUACCCAAAGAAUAAGCACCGGCUAACUUCGUG
rnacentral:rRNA from 1 species